rnacentral:lncRNA from 1 species
CUCCGAGCUCCACCAUGCCUCCAAGCUCAUCCUCCCUGUCCGGGCAUCCCGCCUCAGCUGGUUGGAAAGAAAGCCAGAUGACCCGAGACCAAGCAUCAGGACAGAGGGACCGGAGCAGGAUCAGAGGGGCAGAGGCCAAGGAGGAGGCAACACGUGGCGGGCUAUGA